UUGAAUAAUGGAGAGCGGGAGAAGAGAAAAAGGAAGAGACUGCAGCAUACUCUUUCUUCAUUUGAGGAUGAGGACUUCUAUGACCAAGAUGAACGACGUAACACUCAGCCAGCCCCUCAACUUCCAGAACGUGCACCAGAGCCCAAGCAAAAACGCACACGUGAAGCCGACGCCAAAUGGGCUGC